AGCUGCGCGCGUCUCGCUACGCCACGCCCCUCUCCGGCUCCACCCCAGCCCCAGCUUCAUCUCCACCCGAGAGGCUAGCGCGCUCUCAGUGUUUCUCGAGGCUGUCCUCGUGCGCAGUCCGCGCCAAAGUUCCCUGAAGAGAAAGAGGAGGAAAGAAAGGGCAGGAUUGCCGGGGCAGGCAUGGAGGAAGAAGCAGUCUGGGGAUUAGACUGGGACAGUGACGAGACGGUAGUGGAAGGGUCGGUGACCGAGAGCGAGCUAGAGGAUGACGAGUUGCCCCUGAAAAGGUUAUUUUUUGCUCAAGAUUCAUCUUUUAUAUCUGAUCCCAGUUUUCACUCUGAUCUCAGACGAAUAUAUGGAGAAGCAGCCUCUCCGGAGAUUCAUCUUGUAUAUAAACUCAAAGAGUAUCUACAAGAGCAGAUGAAUAAGCACAUGAUAAAACCACUCUCUGAAGGAGAAAAUGAAACUCAAUUGUCUCAAGCUUUAACACAGGAUGAAAUAGAUAAUCCACUGUUCUCUGAAGAAAUUCCCCAAGAUGAUCUAGUGCUGGACUCUGAAUGGCAGAAUGAGCACAAUUAUUCUGCAGGAUUUGAUACCGAAGAUUUUGGAUUUCUGCAAAGGCCAGAAAAGGAAUUAAGUGAUGGAGAUGACUCCCCUGAAAUUAGUCUACUCUCAGGUGCUGUUAUUACAAGUUAUGGUACAGUAGAAGUAAAGAAAAAACCAUCAGAGAAGCUGGAGGGGCACAGUGUAUUGUCAGAGUCUCUAACGGAAGUUGCAUUGCCUUCAGGAGAAAUCGGGAGAGAAGAUAGCACCUAUGAAAUGUUGGUGCCCAUUAUAGAAGACUCUUCAGGAUUAUCAGAAAGUAUUCUAGUUGAAUACCCAUUUAAAAUGAAUGAAAUUGAAACUAAAGAGUUGUUAAAACCACUGAGUGAUUUGGGUAGUCCCAAAUCAAUGUCAUCUUUAGAUCAUUUGUUGAUUUGUCAGGAAGAUGGUCUGUCAGAAGACAUGCAAGAAAAUGAGAAAAAUGAUGCAUUACCGGCUGAGCUGCUGACAGCCCUGAAUACGUUGUCGGAAUCUGUGGUGGAAUCCAUCUGUCAAAGAAUGGAAAGAGGCAAUGGGUCCUGUGCUGAGAAUGAGUUCUUAGGAACAGAACCUAGCAUUUCUCAGGCAGACAAUGAUUGUACACAAAUAGGAAUGAAUUUUGAAUUUCAGCAUUCUGUUCAGCCAUUUGGACAAGGUCCCAAGUUAACUGAACCUUUAAUGCAGCAAGGUAAAGAAGGCCAAAGUUCACUUGGACAGGAAACCUUAGCACAUCAAAAUGAUGUCUGCUCUAUUGGGCUUAGAAAAAAGGAGGAUUUAAAUACCAUGGAAACUACCAUGACCAUGGAAACUUCAUCUGUGUUAAGGAGAUCAGCCAGAUUGAAAGCAGUAAGAGCAAGAGGUACCCCUAAGGAUAUAGAUGAGGUAUAUAAAAUGCCAAAAGAGAUUCUACAGAAAACACAUAGUGGACUUCCAGUUGAGUAUUUCAGAACACAAGAUCCUCCUUUUCAGAAUAACAGUGAUGAGAAAUCCAUAGAACAGAGCAAAGAACAGGUUUUAUCUCCUUAUAGCUCUGAUGAACAGUUAAGAAAGGGCAGAAAAACUACAAAAAACAGAAAAAAUCACAGAAAUAUAUCAAAGGUUUCAAGUAUUAAUCGAAGAGAUAUCUAUGGAGAAUCACUCUUGCAUAAAGCUGCUCAGGCAGAUGAUUCAGCUCUUGUCAAGAAAUAUAUAAAACUAGGUGGAAAUGUAAAUUUGCCAGAUUAUGCUGUUCUAGGUGCUGAACAAAAGGAAGCCCAGAGAAGCAGCAGGAGCCCAGCUGUUUGCUAGGAACUAAGAUAAAAUGUUCAUUAUUCUGAAAUAAAGCAUUAUGAAAAACUUCUUAAACUUACUUU
rnacentral:lncRNA from 1 species